UCUCUCCCAAUUGACAUAUGCCUCACACAGGACGACCUUCCCUUCCCUUAUGCUUUUUCUGAUGGUUUCUCUCCUGUCCAUUCCGGUGGAGCAAUAUAAACCACCCUUCUUUCUAGGAACUCAGCAUGGCUAUGUCACAUUAUCCUCAAAAUAAUCCACACAGCAGAAGAGAGCGGCUAUGUUCAUCUGUGAAAUGUUGGAAUCUACAAAAUACGGUCAUGCCAUAGAGCAGAUACUUCUGAAGGGAACAUAUCCACUCAGCAGGGAAAAGAAACUUCUUUCAAGAUUCUGAGAUGCCAGCAAAGGCCUCUGCCACCUGCCCCUUUAGCUAGCAAGAUGCCAUCUGUUGCACUUUUAUAAAGUCUUUAAUUAAACUCUUCCAAUACAUCUCA